rnacentral:tRNA from 1 species
GUGGCUGUGGCUCAGCGGUAGAGUGCUUGCCUAGCAUGAACGAGAGGCUGGGUUCGAUCCUCAGCACCACA